ensembl:snRNA U6 U6 spliceosomal RNA
GUGCUUCCUUUGGCAGCACAUAUACUAAAUUAGAAUGAUACAGAGAUUAGGCUGACCUCUGCAAAAGGAUGCCAUGCAAAUUUGUGAAGCGUCCCAUAUUAAA